UUCGCGAGAAGAGUUGCGUUUGUAUUCUUACAUGCUGAGACUGAUGAGUGAGAAUUACGAAUCUUCCUAAAUAAAAGUCUGUAACCUGCUAUCGGUGUUGCACAGGAUGGACUGGAAGUACAUCAAGUGGCUGCACAACCCCCAUUUGCUUUGGCAAUAC